UGAAAACUGGGAUGUCUGCACACUCACUCU
rnacentral:piRNA from 1 species